rnacentral:rRNA from 1 species
UAGGGAAUAUUGCACAAUGGGGGAAACCCUGAUGCAGCGACGCCGCGUGAAGGACGAAGUAUUUCGGUAUGUAAACUUCUAUCAGCAAGGAAGAAAAUGACGGUACUUGACUAAGAAGCCCCGGCUAAAUACGUGCCAGCAGCCGCGGUAAUACGUAUGGGGCAAGCGUUAUCCGGAUUUACUGGGUGUAAAGGGAGCGUAGGCGGCAUGGCAAGUCAGAAGUGAAAGCCUGGGGCUCAACCCGAGUUGCUUUUGAAACUGUCAGGCUAGAGUGUCGGAGGGGUAAGCGGAAUUCCUAGUGUAGCGGUGAAAUGCGUAGAUAUUAGGAGGAACACCGGUGGCGAAGGCGGCUUACUGGACGAUCACUGACGCUGAGGCUCGAAAGCGUGGGGAGCAAACAGGAUUAGAUACC